rnacentral:lncRNA from 1 species
UUUUGCAGAGUUUUUAAACUAACAAGAGAUACUGAGGACACAUUAGAACUAGCAUCCCCUUAAAAUGUUAAUCAUCCAUAGUUUUUCAAAAAUAUUCCUCUGUUGAAAAUUAACAAAGUAAACACCCACUUUGAUAGCUCUUGCAAUGAUUAUAUUGAAGGCCACCUGUUCUGAAAGACGGGGCAAAGUUAUAACUAUGUCCGACUUGCUUUGAAUUUUUCUCUCUUCGUCAUUCUCUUUUAGUUGCCAUUUCAUGUCAUCUUUUCAACUAGUUAAACCAUUUAGGUUCUCUGUUGAAUUUUUAAAGGAAUGACUUGAAGUAUGAUAUUUUAUUUGAUUGUAUAGUUAUUAGCAGUGGGAAAUUAGAUGGAUUGGGUGUAAAUAGAUUUUUGAUGAAAAUUUAUUCAUCCAAUAACCAAUGGACCUUAAUAGAUGGGAUUUAAAUGGAUUAGACCAAUACGACAAUUCAAUAAGAUGCAAUUUUACAGAAUUGAAUUCAAAUUUUUAUCUACUACUGGACACAGCACGCCAACCUUCACAUCCUCAGCAAAUGGCUUGUUUAAAAAGUCAACUACUAUACCUCUUAUUAGAUUCAUUGAUUUUGACUAUAUAUUGUUAUAUUAUUUGCCUGUACUGAUUCUAUUAAUUUCUUUGUAUUAGUUCAAAAACAUAUGUAGGCAUAACUGAUACAAAACCAAGGCUGGGGAUGGGGGUGAGCAAGGGUGAAUUUCUGAAAUUAAACUAUAAACGUAUCGUGAGCUAGAGUCAUACCACUAGACCAAAUUCCACCAGUUAUCGCUUCUUUCCUUUUCUUUAUAUAAACUGUUCUAGCCAGCCUUUGAUGGUUUUGCUUCAAGAACCUUAUUCUCAAAACCAUUUGACCUAUUCCCCAUAGGCAAUCAAAGACACUUUGGUAACGUAGGCUACAGCGAAUGCUCUAGUUUUGGUUGAUAAAGAGUGAUACCUGCAUAUGAGUUGAGAAGUCCCCUCUUUAAAAAUUGAAGUUUGAGUUGUUAUAUUUGUUUUGAUUUUUGGAAAAAUAAUAAGCUAUGCACGGUAAUACACUUUGGUGUAAUGCUCAAUGGGUUUUAAUUUUCUGCAGGAUCUACAACUUCAUAGUUCUAAUGCAGUCUGUGCAAAAUUUACUUGAUUACAAUAGGAGACUUAAUUCUACCUAUACAACUUUUAUUACCAUUAUUUUUUGUUGUUAGUGGUGUUUCUGGUAAUGUUUUUCUUGCAAUAUAUCCAAACUUUAACAUUAAUGACAUGGCAUCUGUCGCUAUGUGUUGCCCACCUGAGAUUGAGCCACAGUGUCUCGUAGAUAUGUUUUACUACUCUGGCUAAUGAUUAGAGUCGAUUUAUGAUAUUUUUUAGUAAUUUAUUAUUAUUUUUUUGUCUCCCCUAAAUAUAAUUGAAAGAAACAAAAAUUAAUUUGUAGGUUUCAUGACCACCUCAAUUUGACUGGGAAUUAAACUGAGGACCUCGCAUAGCCAAAGGGAUAAUCAAGGCUUAUUUUUGUGAUUUGACAUUAUUGAAAGUAUUAACUUACUGAGGAUUAAGUUCACUUUGAGAUCCGAAAGUGAUAUGAUGUAACCGAACCAGAUAAGUGGAGUCAUUUUUCUUAUUGAAGAUGCAGGUACUCCCUGGCUGGCAUACGUUGUUUUGAAUCUUUUGAUCUGCUACUUGUAAAUUUCCUAUUAUUCAACUGAGCACAGCAAAUUUCGCAGGUCAGUGCCAGUACCAUUUACUAAUCAUGCUUCAGUUUCAGGAUUAGUUAUUUGGUGCAAAAAUUAAUUUCCACAGUGAGCAGUCAGUAUCUCUGUUAUUUUGGUGGUUAUAUAUUAUUAAAAUAUACAUUUUAAAUAUUCUGCUUCCACAAAAAUUAAUAUUUCUACAGUGAGCAGUCAGUAUCUCUGUUAUUUUGGUGGUUAUUUAUUACUAAAAUAUACAUUUUAAAUAUUCUGCUUCUGACCACACCUUGAAGUAAUAAUCUCUCAUUUUCUAUAAUCUGAAUCCAUGUAUUGUAGAAUCUUUCCAGAAGGACAUUGUAUUUGUGUCCAGAAAAUGCCCUUGUGCAGAGGUUCUCGUUCUCAUAUCUGAUGGCUUUACAACCAGAAACAGCAUUAGAUAGAGCUUUGAAAAUGAAUUAGGCAGCUAAAUAACUAUCUUCUGAUUCAGUUACAUUAUUGAGUCAGGUCACUGAAUCAACAAUAUUUAGUCCUUUCAGUGUGCAGUACAGUUUCCUCAUAAUGUUACAUAAUUGAGGUAAUUGAACAACUAUGUCUUAAUAGUUAACAAGGUUGCAUUAUUAAAUCUAGCUUUAGCAUUUGGAAUACCUGUGCUGGAUACUCUGUUUAUAAGUCUUGUUUCUUUUAUUUACAAUCAGACCUGUCCAGGUUGACAAGGGAAUAAAAAGGUGCUCUACGGCUGACAGAUAAUUUGUAAAAUGGGGCAUACGAGAAUUGAAAUCAGGACCUCCUGCAGCCGAAGUGAGAAUCAUACCACUAGACCAAAUGCGUUGUUGUAGUAGAAAAUUGUGUUCCUUGGACCUUGUUAUUUGCUUCUUGCUUUUUCUAAACUGUUCUAGAUCAGAAGAAGCUUUGAUGCCAGAAGCUAUAAUUAACAGACAGUUCUCUAGUUUUGGACAAUAAAAAAUGCAAAUGUGCAUAGAGUUUGUGACUUGUGAAGUUUCUUUUUAAAAUUGCAAUUUGAGUCGUGAAAAAUUUUUUCACCAUGCAGGGUAAUAGACUUUGGGAUAAUACUUGAUGUGGUGUAAUAAUAUGCAGGAUGUUUUGUAUGGGUGCUACUGCUUCCCUUGUCAUGUAUUCAUACUAGUUAAUAUUUAUGUUAUCGCCUCAGCCGCAAUCUGUUAACCUAGUCCUUGUUUGAUCCAUCUCAGUGUCUUGGAGAACUCUUUGUUCAUAGGGCUGCUGCUGCUAAUGCUUUUCUUUUGAUGUAUGCAUACUUGUGUUAGAAUUUUAUGGUAGGGGCCUUGGCCACAAUCUAUUGACCUUGUCCCUUUUUGAUCCAUAUCAGUAUCUUACAGAAGACCUCUGUUACCACUUUUGCAUAAUGACUGAGUUGACUUCACAUAUGACAUUAGGAGGCUUCCACCCGGAAUACAGAAUUGAGGAAUGCAAUUGUCAUUGUAGGUAUUUCAACAGAAAUUCAGUGACUAGUGGAAUUGUAAAUGAUAUGAUAUUGGAUAAUAGUAAUAAUACUGUAGAGGAAAUUAACAAUGUAAUAUGGAAAAGAGAGAUGACACCAGGCAUUCAAAAAGCCUGAGAUCACUCCCAGUUUUCUUUCAGAGAGUAUGGAUGAAUGAAAUAAUAUAAUUCCCUUCUCCCUUUAUCUAUGGUGAGAUUGCGCCACACUUAUUCAAGAAAUUUCCCCCCAACUUUCUCCCUCAAUCAACUCACAAAUUGUUAAAACAAUUUCAACAUAAUUACAAAUUCAACUCGAUUAAAUCUCUGGCAACAUGGACUCCUCUUUCCUUGCGUGAAUCAGUGACAUGAGCUUCCAGUUCUUCCCCUUUAGCUUGAUUUGCCCUUUUUUCUUCCUAGCAUAGGUGAAUUGAACCAGUGGCUUAUCAGAUAUCUUAUACUUGUUUUGCUGAAAAAUGGUUGAAAUAAAUUAAUAAAAGAAUAUAUAUUUAGGAUAAAUGACCACCUUAAUUUGAAUGGGGCAUUCUGAGAAUCGAACUCUGGACCUCUUGCACCAAAGCGAGAAUCAUACCGCUAAUGCCCAGUUGUAGUCAAUUAUUUUGUCCUUGAAGCCUGUAAUUUCUUGCUGUUUCUGUUUGUCGAUAGAUAAGGUAGGGGUAUUGCCAACACUACCACCACCACUCUGGGAUCUAGGUGGAGGCCUAACAGUCUCCUUGGCUUUGACGGUGUUUCAGAUUAAAAACAAAAUCUGUUCUAGUCAGCCUUUCGACUAAGCUCUUUGAUCUAUUCAUCAUAGGCAAUCAAAGGGAACUUUGAUCUCAGAAUCUACUAUUAAAAGAUAGUUCUCUAGUUUUGGGUGAUAAAAAGUUCCUACGUGCAUAUGUUGUUGCGAAGCACCUGUUUUAAAUUGCAGUCUGAGUUGUGAAAAUAUAAUGAUCUGUGGAAGGUAAUAGAAAUUAGAAUAAAUGCUCAAUGUGGGGUAAUUUUGUGAAGGAUUAUUUCCAGUGUUGCAGCUGCGCUAAUGCUUUCUUGAAAUAUAUUCAUACUUUUUAAUAUAUAUGAAUGAUAUGACCUCGGCCGCAAUCUGUUGACCUUGCCUAAGUUUGAUCAAUCUCAAUUUUUUGGAGAAGAUCUUUUUUACCACUCUGGCUUAAUGACUUAGUUGACUUUGUAUAUCAUCCUUGCUUUCUUGAAAUGUAUUCAUACUUUUUAAUAUAUAUGACAUGACCUUGGCCGCAAUCUGUUCACCUUGCCCAAGUUUGAUCAAUCUCAAUUUUUUGGAGAAGAUCUAUUUUACCACUCUGGCAUAAUGACUGACUUUGUAUGUCAUCCUUGUUUCACUGAAAUUUAGUUGAAAGAAAGGGGGAAAAAAAAAAAAAAAAAAGAAGAAGAAUGCGUAAACACCUUAAUUUGAUUGAGGCAUUCCGAGAAUCGAACUCGGGACCUCUCGCACCCAAAGCGAGAAUCAUACCACUAGACCAAAUGCCCUUCUAUUAAUUGUUUUGAACCUUGGAGCUUGACAGCUUGUCAUUUCUUGCUUGUCUGUAUAUUAGCUGUUCUAGACUGCUUUUUGAGUAUUAUUUUUCUAGGAGCACAUUUCACAAAAGAAUUUUAUCUAUUGAUCGUAGGAAAUGAAAGGGAGCCUUGAUCUCAGAAGCUAUAUUUAAUAGACAGUUUUUUAGUUUUUUGUGAUAGAAAGUUGCUACAUGCAUAUGUGUUGUGAAUACCAUUUUUAAAUUGCAAUCAGAGUCAUGGAAAAAUAACGAGCUAUGCAAUGUGUAAUUUUAUGAAGGAUUGUUUCUAGUGCUGCUGCUGCUUUUUCUUCACGCGUAUUCGUACUUAUUUAUAUUUAGCCUGAGUUUGAUCCAUCUCAGUGUCUUGGAGAAGAUUUGUUUUACCAUUCUAGCAUAAUGACUGAGUUGAUUUCAUUUAUGAUAUUUCCCACAAAAUUUAGUUGGAAAAAAAAAAAAAAAAGGUAGGAUUGAUGACCACCUAAAUUUGACUGGGCAUUCAGAAAAUCGAACUCAGGAUUUGCCCCUAAAGCAAGAAUCGCUUUUUGGACACUCAGCUAAUUCUUUACUCCACAUAAGUAUAGAAUGCUCUGGGUUAGCAAGUAUGGAAAUGAAGAAAAAAUUUAUGUUGCCAGUGUCACUAUCACUAUUAUAUAUCUAGAAUUUAUAUUUCCAAAUUUUGGUACGAAUCCAUACUGUAUGCAUCCUGUUUCAGUAGAAUGAACUGCUGACAGAAUUUGCUUUGGUUUUUCACAUGCAGCUGGGCAAGGAUUGACAAGAAGCUGAAGGUUCAAUUUUGUAUUUAACAAGUCACCUUCUUGCCACACAGAAGUGCACAUGUACAUGCUCAAGGUUUUUUUUUUGCAUGAUUUGACAUUCUCAUAAUCAUCUAAUUGUUGUGGUGAGAUCAUACUAUUUUUCUUAUUGAUGACGCAGGUAAUCGCUGUCUGAUAUGUUUUGUUUCAGUAGCUGCGUCGUGCAGGACGAGUUGCCUAGGUGAGCUUAGUGUCAACUAUUAUAUGCGCUUGAAUUUCUGUAUCUUUCUAAGUUGACUAUUGUUUGUAAAUUGUUUAUAAUAGGUCAAACCACAUUUUAUCCACAUAUUUCGUGGAACCUACAAGUACGACCCACUUAUUUGCCACUCAUUUCUAUUUAUUUAUAAUUUAAACCAUUUAAAAACAACUCCCAAGCACGUUUUAAAAUAUUUCCAUUUUUCUACUGUGGACCAUCAAUGGACCUGUUAUUUGGUAGAAUCUUUUCAACAGUUUUGUGCUGAGGUUCCUCAUAAACUUUGUAUUGAUGACUCCAGAGCUGAUAAUAUCAACAAUAUUUAAACCUUUCAGUAGGGCAAUAAAUAUUUUAUGCUUAGAAGACAGGCAAGUGAAUUGUCAAUAGAUAGACCGUUCAGUGGGGAGUAACUGUUUCCUCAUAAUGUUACAUUAUUGAGGCAAUUGAAUUGACAGUAUAUUAUCUUUCCAGUGUGGAAACAACGGUCUUAAAAAUUUUACAUUAUUAAAUCUAGCUUUCGCAUAUGCAAUAUCAGUUUCAGAUGUAAAUUUUUUUUUUCUCUGUCUUGAUUCUUUUAUUUACAAGCAGAUCUGUCCUGCUUGACUAGGAAGUAAAAAGGUGCUUUGUGGCUGACUAAACUAUUGCAUAAAAUGGGGCAUUCUGAGAAUUGAACUUCGGACCUCUUGCACCCGAAACGAGAACCAUACCACUAGAUCAAAUGCCCUGUUGAAUUUUAUUACUCUGUCCCUUGGAUCAUGAACCUGUUUUACAAGUCUGACCUGACGAAGGAUGAACCAAAUCGAACAAACCUUAGAGUUGUAUGAGAAUUGUAGAAGAAUGGAAAAAGCGAAGAGGAGAAAGAAGGGGGAGAGAGGGAAAAAAUAGAUAGCCAGGAGAGAGAGUGCUGUAAUUUUAUUCAAUAAUCAAAAGGCCUCUAACAAUAAAAAACCACCUUCAUUCUUAUACCAGAAAUCCCGAUGAAAAUAUGGAACAUUACCUAAUAAUUAAGGAAAGGGAAUAAAGUAAAUCACUCUAAAUAAUUAUAAAAUAAUUCUUAUUCUACUCAAUGGCAAGUCUUUCACAAUUAUCUUUAUUGAUCUCCAUCAUGGCCUCUCAUUACAUUACCUGGGAUUGUUAAUUGGUAUAACUGGUAAGUGCUUGACAGGAUAUGUGAUGUUUAACAAUGUAACAAAAAUUUGCUUUUUUUCAUUUUCCCUAUACUGACUCCAAAAUGCACUUCAUUUCUCAAUUGUUCUUCUUGGAGAUUGUCAAUUAUGAUAAUUGUUUUUCCUUGUAGUUGAUUUAUUGAGACUUUAAGAAAAAAAUUGUACAGGAUUCAUGAUCACCUUAAUUUGAAUGGGGCAUUCCGAGAAUCGAACUCGGGACCUCUCGCACCCAAAACGAGAAUCAUACCACUAGACCAAAUGCCCUGCUGUAGUCAAUUCUUUUGCCCCUUGAAGCUUGUAAUUUGCUUCUUGCUUGUCAAGUAUAUAAACUGUUCUGGUCUGCCUUUUGACUAUUAUGCUUCCAGACAAGAGUAUGUCACAAAACCCUUUGAUCUAUUCCCCAUGGGCAAUCAAAGGCAGUAUUGAUCUCAGAGGCUACAAUUAACAGUCAACGAGGCAGUUCUCUGGUUUUGGACUAUAAAAAGUGCCUACGUGCAUUCAAAAUGUGAAGUUACUUUUCUGAAAUUGCAAUUUGAGUUAUAUUAUUCAUGAAAAAUUCUUUAAAAAAAAAUUAUUCAUGAAAAAUUAUAAACUGUGAAUGGUAAAAGACUUUUGUGUAAUUCUCAAUGUGGUGUAAAUUUGUGCAGGAUUGUUUGUAGUGAUGCUGGUGCUGCUAAUACUUUUCUUGAAAUGUAAACAUACUUUUUAAUAUUUAUCGUAUGGCUUCGGCAGCAAUCAACAGACCUAGCUCAAGUUUGAUCCAUCCCAGUGUCUUGGCGAAGAUCUGUUAACCAGUUUUGUAUAAUGAAAGAGUUGACUUCAUUUAUGAUAUUUCAUCCUUGUUUCCAUUAAAUUUAAUUAAAAGAAAUAAUAAAAAGAAGUGUAGGAUUCAUAAUCACCUUAAUUUGACUGGGGCAUUCCAAGAGUCGAACUUGGGACCUCUCGCACCCUAAGCGAGAAUCAUACCACUAGACCAAAUGCCCAAUUACUGAUGAUUUUAGCACUCAAAUAAAUCUUUACUCCACAUAAUAAAUAGUAAACACUGGGUGAAGGAAAAUUUUAUGUCUCCAGUGUUGCCAAUCAUUGCGAUAUAUCUAGACUAUAUUCUUCCAAAUUUUGGAAUGUAUACAUACUGUAUACCUCCUGUACAGGUAGAAUGUACUGCUGACAAAAUUUUAUUUCCUCUUGGCCCCUACUCCAAUGUCGUUUAGAUCUCUGGAAAAAAAUAUGCACGUGCUGGUUAAAAAUGUUUUCAUAUGAAGCUGGGCAAGGAGCAACAAGAAGCUGAAGUUUCAGUAUUGGAUUUCAUGCAUUCACCUUCAUGCCAUGCAGAUGUACACAUGUACAUGCUCUCAAGGCUUAUUUGCAUACUAUUUUUCUCAUUGCUGAUGCUGGUAAUUCCUGGCUGACAUGUGUUGUCAAUAGCAGCUGCUUUUAAAUACCUUAUUAUGCGACGCACAGUGAAUUGUGCAGGUGAGCUUAGCGUCAAUUGAUUAAGUUUGCUUCAAUUUUUGUAUCUUGCUAAGUUAUUUGAUGCCAAAACUUAAUAUUUCUAUUUACCGUCGUGGACUUUCAAUACCUCUGUUAUUUGGUUUUUAUAUGCGGUUUAGAGUAAUACACUAAUUCUUGAUGCUUCUUGAUGUAAUAAUAUUCCGUUUUCUAUAUUUUUAGUCUAUAUUUAGUACAAUCUUGUCAGCAUCCUUUGUUUUGAGGUUCCUCUUAAACUUUGGAUCUAUUGACUCUAGAAGUGAUAGAAUCAGCAUUAUUUAAUUAAACCUUUCAGUAGGGCAAUAAUUUUUUUGUGCAUAGGUUGCAUUAUUGAGGGAAGAUAUUGAAUCAAUAAUAUCGAGACCUUUCAGUGGGCAGUCACUUUUUCCUCAUCAUGUAACAUUAUUGAGGCAAUUGAGUCGACAAUAUAUAAUCAUUCCAGUAUCCCAUCAAUUGUCAUAAUAAGGUUUACAUUAUUAAAUCUAGUUUUAGCACUUUGUGAUGUUAAUGUUAGUUAAUUUUUGUUUUCAGUCUUUGAUUCUUUUAUUUCAUAGCAGAUCUGUACAGGUUUGACUAGGAAAUAAAAAAAUUCUUUCUGGUUGACUAAAAUAAUUCAUAAAAUGGGGCAUUCCGAGAAUCGAACUCGGGACCUCUCGCACCCAAAGCGAGAAUCAUACCACUAGACCAAAUGCCCUAUUACUUAUGAUUUUUAGCACUCAUCUAAAUAUUUACUCCACAUAAGUAGUCGUAUACACUGGGUUAAUAAGUCUUGAAGUGAAGGAAAUUUCUUUUUUUUUGGUCUCCAGUGUCACUAUCAUUGUUAUAUGUCUUGAAUUUAUUUAUUUAUUUAUUUUUUUCAAAUUUGUGUAUGCAAUACAUCCUGUUCCUGUAUUAUGAACUGCUGACAGAAUUUUAUUUCCUCUUGUUCCAUACUCCAAUGUCAUUCACAUCUCUGGAAGUAAAGAAAAUAUUCACGUGCUGGUUAAAACUGUUUUCACGUGAAGCUAGGCAAGGAGCGUCAAGAAGCUGAAGCCUCACAGUAGGAUUUCAUACAUUUGCCUUCUUGCCACACAGAUGCAUACACGCACAUGCUCGAAUUUUACAUACUCUUAGUUAUCUAAUUGAUUUGGAUAUAUCAUACUAUUUUUUUUUUUUUUAAUUGAAAAUGCAGGUAAUUCCUGGCUGACAUUGUUUCAACGGCCGUUGCUUUUAAAUAUCCAAUUAUGAAAAGGAGCACGGUGAAUUGUGCAGGUGAGCUUAGUGUCAUUGAUUAAAUUCACUUGAAUUUAUGUAUCUUGCUAAAUUAUUUGAUGCCAAAACUUGAUAUUUCUAUUUCCCAUAGUGGACUUUCAAUACCCCUAUUAUUUGGUUUUUAUAUUUACUAAAAUAUGCAGUUUUUAAUAGCAAACUGAUUCUUGAUUUUUCCUUGACAGAGUAAUAUCCCUUUUUCUAUAUUCUUAGUCACAUUUAGUAGAAUCUUGUCGGCAACCUUUGUGCUGAGGUUCCUUUUAAACUUUGAAUCUGAUGACACUGGAAGUGAUAGGGCAAUAAAUUUUUCAUGCAUAGGUUGAAUUAUUUAGACCAGCAACUGAAUCAAUAAUAUUAAGACCUUUCAGAGGGCAGUAACUGUUUCCUCAAAAUAUUACAUUAUUGAGGCAAUUGAGUCAACAAUACAUAAUCCUUCCAGUAACCCAUCAACUAUAUAUUAAUAAGUUUUACAUUAUCUAGCUUUAGCACCUGUGAUAUUAAUAUUAGUUUAUUUUUGUUUUAAGUGUGUGAUUCUUUAAUUUGAUAGCAGAUCUGUCCAGGUUUGACUAGGAAAUAAAAAAGUGCUUUGUGGUUGACAAAAAUAAUUCAUAAAAUGGGGCAUUCCGAGAAUCGAACUCGGGACCUCUCGCACCCAAAGCGAGAAUCAUACCACUAGACCAAAUGCCCUGUUAUUACUAUGUUCCUUGCAACACGAACUUGUUUGACAAGUCUGACCUCCACUGUGGUAUUUAUUACAGUUCUAUUUACUGAACUCAUUUUUUCCAGCGUGAUACUGAAGUUUGGGUUUAGUUUGAUGUCAGAUGUGCAAGACAUUAAUUGUUAAUGCCAUGAAACAACACAAAAAGCAAACUUCACCACUUUAAAAUAAAAUAAAGUUAAAUGACUAAUAUAAAACUUCACUAAUAAUGUUUUGAACCCAUUUUUAUUCUACAUCAACUUGAAAUGGGGGUCAAAUUUUAAAUUUUUAACAUUCAUUUUGUUCUGAAAUCAGGGUUUGUAAGAUUUGUUAUGUUAUUCUAGUUUGACUAUUUAUGGUUGAUCUGAAUGAUUUCAUAUUUUUUAUUAGUUAAACCACUAAUUUAAUGAUCAUUUGAAACGAGAAUGUUUUUAAACAUUGAAGCACUUGGAAUAUACAAACCGCAGCUGUUAGAAACAUCUGUUCAUCAAUUUCUCUUGGCAAGCGGACCUGUUUUGAGGGGCUUUCCAAGAACUGAACUCUGGGACCUCUCCCCUUGGAAACGGACUGUUUUAUUUAUUAAUAUUCAGUAAAAUACUUCUAUGAAUAGAGAAAUUGUGUCAUAUUCGAGUUUUCAUUUCUUACAGAUUUCUAAUAGAUUUUGGGAUUAUUAGCAUGAUAAAAGACUCGUAUGUUUUAACCUUUCAAACUAAAUAAUAGUAUGAAUUGGGUGUAAGGUGCUGGCUUUGGGUUGGAAUUGCUUAAAGUUCGCCCAAAUAAUUGCUGAAUGGCCAUAAUUAUCAUCUCCCUCACCCGUAAUUGAUUGCAGCUCACAAUUUGCUCCUUUUCAGUCUGCUUUUUACCCCUACCAUAGGCCCUUAAUGAAAUAUAAUCAAUGAGAAAAAGUUUGGUGAGUGAACGGAAGAAGAGUUGUACAAAAAUUCUUUUUGUUCUCUCUCUCACUCUUGUUACUUGCUAGGGAUCUUUUCAUGUAAAACAAAUGGCCUUUGCUGGAACGACACAGAAAUGCACUGCUUGUAGCAAGACUGUAUAUUUAGUAGAUCGGCUGGCAGCCCCGCCAACUGGGUAUCCACCAUUGCAAUAAUACCCUGAAGGUAUUUGUAAUUUAUCAAAGGAAGCAUUAUUAUAUAUUUUUCAAUAUAUCCUUUGAGGGCAGGUUUAAUGUUUCAUUUUAUUUUCUCCUUUUCAGCUCAGCAAUUUCAACUCCUUUGAGGGGGUCGUGUAUUGCAGUCCUCACUUUGAUCAGAUCUUCGAGAGAACUGGCAGCCUGGAGAAGAGUUUCGAAGGUAGAAGAACCAUAUAUGAAAUCUAAUUUACCUUAUUUCUAUAAUUAUAUCUUCCAAACUAUAUCUCAGUGUUCUGCACUCGUCUAAAAUUUCUUCCAGGGACACCAAAAAUCUUGAAACCCGGAAAGCUAGUUGACAAUGAGGUAAUCUGCUUCUUGCUAAAGCAGAAAUUUAGAUUAUUCAAAUUUUGGAUCUUACACAUUGGGG